rnacentral:rRNA from 1 species
GGUUAAGCGACUAAGCGUACACGGUGGAUGCCCUGGCAGUCAGAGGCGAUGAAGGACGUGCUAAUCUGCGAUAAGCGUCGGUGAGGUGAUAUGAACCGUUAUAACCGGCGAUUUCCGAAUGGGGAAACCCAGUGUGAUUCGUCACACUAUCAUUAACUGAAUCCAUAGGUUAAUGAGGCGAACCGGGGGAACUGAAACAUCUAAGUACCCCGAGGAAAAGAAAUCAACCGAGAUUCCCCCAGUAGCGGCGAGCGAACGGGGAGGAGCCCAGAGCCUGAAUCAGUGUGUGUGUUAGUGGAAGCGUCUGGAAAGGCGUGCGAUACAGGGUGACAGCCCCGUACACAAAAAUGCACAUAUUGUGAGCUCGAUGAGUAGGGCGGGACACGUGGUAUCCUGUCUGAAUAUGGGGGGACCAUCCUCCAAGGCUAAAUACUCCUGACUGACCGAUAGUGAACCAGUACCGUGAGGGAAAGGCGAAAAGAACCCCGGCGAGGGGAGUGAAAAAGAACCUGAAACCGUGUACGUACAAGCAGUGGGAGCCUCUUAAUGGGGUGACUGCGUACCUUUUGUAUAAUGGGUCAGCGACUUAUAUUCUGUAGCAAGGUUAACCGAAUAGGGGAGCCGAAGGGAAACCGAGUCUUAACUGGGCGUUAAGUUGCAGGGUAUAGACCCGAAACCCGGUGAUCUAGCCAUGGGCAGGUUGAAGGUUGGGUAACACUAACUGGAGGACCGAACCGACUAAUGUUGAAAAAUUAGCGGAUGACUUGUGGCUGGGGGUGAAAGGCCAAUCAAACCGGGAGAUAGCUGGUUCUCCCCGAAAGCUAUUUAGGUAGCGCCUCGUGAAUUCAUCUCCGGGGGUAGAGCACUGUUUCGGCAAGGGGGUCAUCCCGACUUACCAACCCGAUGCAAACUGCGAAUACCGGAGAAUGUUAUCACGGGAGACACACGGCGGGUGCUAACGUCCGUCGUGAAGAGGGAAACAACCCAGACCGCCAGCUAAGGUCCCAAAGUCAUGGUUAAGUGGGAAACGAUGUGGGAAGGCCCAGACAGCCAGGAUGUUGGCUUAGAAGCAGCCAUCAUUUAAAGAAAGCGUAAUAGCUCACUGGUCGAGUCGGCCUGCGCGGAAGAUGUAACGGGGCUAAACCAUGCACCGAAGCUGCGGCAGCGACACUAUGUGUUGUUGGGUAGGGGAGCGUUCUGUAAGCCUGUGAAGGUGGCCUGUGAGGGUUGCUGGAGGUAUCAGAAGUGCGAAUGCUGACAUAAG